AACGAACGCUGGCGGCAGGCCUAACACAUGCAAGUCGAGCGCGCCCUUCGGGGUGAGCGGCGGACGGGUGAGUAACGCGUGGGAACGUGCCCUUUUCUACGGAAUAGCCUCGGGAAACUGAGAGUAAUACCGUAUACGCCCUUUGGGGGAAAGAUUUAUCGGAAAAGGAUCGGCCCGCGUUGGAUUAGGUAGUUGGUGGGGUAAUGGCCUACCAAGCCGACGAUCCAUAGCUGGUUUGAGAGGAUGAUCAGCCACACUGGGACUGAGACACGGCCCAGACUCCUACGGGAGGCAGCAGUGGGGAAUCUUAGACAAUGGGGGCAACCCUGAUCUAGCCAUGACGCGUGAGUGAUGAAGGCCUUAGGGUUGUAAAGCUCUUUCAGCUGGGAAGAUAAUGACGGUACCAGCAGAAGAAGCCCCGGCUAACUCCGUG
rnacentral:rRNA from 1 species